AUUGUUUAGAAACUUAGUAAGUGAAUAAAAGCACGUGGCCACGAGGACACAAGAAUAUCUAAGCGCUGCAGAAACUGCCACAUAAUUUGCUCCUUGAUUUAUUGCAUCUUUGGCAGGCAAUGCUCUGAGCUUUCAUGCAUAUAUGGGCAAUUGGGGCAUCUGUGAUGAAGUGCUGUUGACAGAAGUAUGGCCCGUGGUAACAUGAUUGCUAUAAUAAGCAACCAUGAAGAGCCUUUCGCCUCUAGCCAUGAUUCUGAGAACUUCCCAGCCAUGUGGAACUAGCCAUGUACAAGUAUAUUUUUUCAUUACAAAUAAUUCAAGAAAAAGAAACCAUUGAAGAUAAAUGAAACAUUGUAUUACAUUUUAUGCCAGCUACAAGAGAAGAUUUUUGAUGUUCAUAACACAAAGAAAAAAUAAAUGAGGAGACACGUGUUAAUUAUCCUGAUUUGAGUAUUAUACACUGUAUACAUGUAUAAAAAUAUCACUCUGUAUGCU